GAGUCGGUCUUGGGUCUGGCCGUGCCUGAACCUGCAAAGUCCGCGCCGGCUCCCAAGAAGGGCGCCAAGAAAGCCGUCACCAAAGCCCAGAAGAAAGACGGCAAGAAGCGCAAGCGCAGCCGCAAGGAGAGCUACUCCAUCUGCAUGUACAAGGUGCUGAAGCAGGUCCACCCCGACACCGGCAUCUCGUCCAAGGCCAUGGGCAUCAUGAACUCCUUCGCCAACGACAUCUUCGAGCGCAUCGCGGGAGAGGCGUCCCGCCUGGCGCACUACAACAAGCGCUCCACCAUCACGUCCCGCGAGAGCCAGACGGCCCUGCGCCUGCUGCUGCCCGGCGAGCUGGCCCAAGCACGCCUUGUCCCAGGGCACUUGCAAGGCUGUCACCAAGUACACCGGCUCCAAGCGAGUCCCGGCUGCUUGACUCCAAAGUCUCUUUUCUGGGCUGCUUAACCCCUUCAGUGAAAUAAGCUGUUUUCACACUGCUUACUGUAAUUUCUACUUAGGGAGUUUUUCACAGCACCUAUCCCUUUUUCUGCAGCUGAUGGGAGAGGAAUAUAAGAUAAAGCCAGAAUCUGUAGCUUGGUCGAGAACUACCUGGUAAUAACAUGGUAAUGUGCACAUAAUUUGCCUUUUCCAUAGUCGGUUUGCUACCGGGGCGGUCAGUGUAAAUCUGCUCAGGAGAGUGGAAGGAAAAAAUAUAAAUGCAUAUUGAGCUCGUUAAAUUGUGUAGUAACCUGAGAAUAUUCCUAAACUUUUGCGACCACGCCUCACCAUGUAAACUUUCCUUCCGCACCUGUAGACCUCCAUUCUAUGGUUGAAGCAAUUUUCCGUUUACAUAGUUCUUUUGUCUCAAUUUGAUAUUCCUUUCAGGUACUGUGAAUCUAUAGGUAUUUAUUCCUGGGUUUCAAGACGUUAAAUGCUCUCAGAAUAGAGUAAUGGAAAGGCUGCUGUCAUGGAUAGUAAAGCUUUUUAGUCAAGUGUUGAUAUGUAGACAAUUCCCCACUGUUAUCGUUGGGUAUUUUACCAUUUUCUGCGCAAGAAAUGUAAUGAAAAAAUUAGGUCUAAGUUUUAAGGCUUUCAUUUUUGAGACUGGAUACCUUAAACAAUAGUUUCCUAAACAGUUAAAACUUAUUUUACCCUGAAGCUUUUGAGACACACACAAAUAUAUAUAUACCCUGAAGCUUUUGCGACACACACAAAUAUAUACAUAAAUAUAUUUUAUAUUCCUUAAACCCCACAUAUUUCCACUGAUCCAAAUCACUGGGGGCGAGAGACAAGCAAUCUAUGACACACCACCAGGUGAUUCAUAAGUUUGGUAACCACUGACAUUUGGUUAUGCAGUUGCCAUAUUCCUUGGUAAGAACGUGUUCACAAUUUUCAGUCACUAUGCCAGAUAAUUCCCCCUCCCCACACUCCCCUUUUUUCUGAGAAUUGCAGUGCGAUAUACAAAAGUUUCAUUUAAUCCUUUAUUAAAUCAGGACUUUAUAUAUUUUUAUUAGGAUUGAAAAUACAUUUCAAAAAGAUCAAGUGAGAACAGAAGAUAAAAGUACCAAGAUAAUGGCAUAAUACAAACUUACUAGAAAAUACACAUUAAGCAUACUGCAGUGUCCUAGUAGCCCCUUUUCACUUUUUUCUCUUUAUGUACCUACAUAAAAUUCCAAAUAGUAUCUUCCAGGAUGACACACUUGCUGUGUACCCCACCCAAAUAAAAACAGAUUUUUUAGUUAUUAGGUAUUGUGCUAAAUAUACCUUAUUUUAUUGCCAAAAGAAAAAAAAAGCAAGCUUUUCAAAGCUUCAUCCCCAGAAAACAUUUUCUUCCUUUUACACAUACCUUACAUGGCUCUACUGAGAGAUAAAGCCUAAGCCUGCAAAGUUAAUUUAAAGCAUGGAGGUGGGGGUCAGAAAGACAGUAGGGAAAGGUUGAGUUAAUAAGGCAGGUAUGUGACUUCAUUUUAACAGGCACCUGCAUGGCGUCGAGUAAAUAACCAGUUAUAUGUGGGGGAGGGAGUGGUCAACAUUUGGUCCUGGGGACUGAGAAUAAGAGCAGGAAAGCAAUAAACAGCUAACUAUGAGAGUGACUCAAUGUAAUUAUAUUACUUGUCAAUCGCUACUUUUCCUUUCUUACCAAAAUUCACACAGGUAUGAAAGCAAUAUGACAUUCAGGUUCCAUUAUGUGUAUUUGUGCACACGACUUCCCACAAUAAGGGAGAAGAAAAACCACUGCACAUUCGGAUAAAACAUGCUGGGAAUACAGCAGUAAACAGAAUAGAAAAAGUCUACACUUUAAUUAGUGGAUAAGUGAACAAAUAGUGAAAAAUAAGUGAACAAAUAAAUUUAUAUUAUUCAGGGGGCCAUAUGUGCAAUUCUGUUAAGUAAAGCAGAACAUGGAGUGGAAUAGGGAUGACAGGUUUGAUCAGUUAAUACUUGAGCAGAGCUGUAUACAGUAAGAUAGUUAUAGAAUAUCUUAAGGCAGAGUAUUCUCAGAACAACAUGGUAAGUACAAAGGCCCCAAGGCAGGAACAAGCUUGGUGAAUGUGGGUGAAGCACACUGACCAAGGGAAAGUUUUGCACAGAUCAGAGAGGUGCUUGAAGGCCAGAUCAUGUAGGCCAUUAAGGAGCUUCACAGGCCAUUGCAGAGAUUUUGUCUUUUAAAUGAGAUAGAGUACUCUUGGAGAAUUUGACUGGAGAGGCUGGUGGUAGCAAUGGAGAUGUGGAGAUGCAGGUUAGUUGCGGAGGUAUUUUAAAUGAAAUUGAUUUAGUAUAGGCUGACUAAAAGAGAAAUCAAGGAUUAAUUGUAGGUUUUUACACUGAGCACUUGAAAAGAGCUACUAUUUGCUGAUAGGAGGGAGGAGUAGUCUUGGAGGAAGGAAACCAAGAAUACUGUUGAACAAAAUGUUGAAGACCUCCUGGUAAGUAUCGAAGUAUAAAUAUCACAGGAAGUCAGAAAUAUGAGAAUCUGGAGUUUAGGAAGGGGAUUAGGUUUGUAAGAUCUCAUAUCAGUCUGAUUCUUAUUCUUUUGUAGAUAAUCUACCCUUUCUGUAAAUAUUUAGAAAUCAUGUCGUCUGUGUGUAUACACACACACACACACACACACUCUUCCCCCCUGCCCCCAAGACUGCCUCAGCUUUCAUCUCAGUAUUUGACUGAAACCUUCUAUUCAACUUCAGUUUCAGCCUUAGAAUAACGAGAUGUCUAUGUCAAUGUCAUUUGGGGCAUCUCUGGUCUUGUGCAAUCACAAAAGUCACCAUUACCACUACACAGUAUGUAUUAUGACCAAUGGAUAUCAUUCAGAGUUCUAGUUUACAUAUGCUAUUAUCAAACGUAUAUAAUAAAGCUUUUAAUAUAACUUGGGGGUGAAAUUAGUAAAAUAUCAAUUUACAUAAAUUAAUUUUAUUGUAAAAAUAAAAUACAUUAUGAGUUUCUGUA